CUCCUGCCUCAGCUUCCCGAGUAGCUGGGACUGUAGGCAUGUGCCAUCAUGCCCAGCUAAUUAUAUAUUUUUUAACUAGAGAUGGGGUUUCCCUGUGAUGGCCAGGAUGGCCUUGAUCUCUUGACCCUGUGAUCUGCCCACCUCCGCCUCCGCCUCCCAAAGUGUUGGGAUUAUAGGUGUGAGCCACCGCACUGGGCCAAAACUUGGCAAUUUAAAUUACAGUAAUUUUUCCAUCUGUUUGUGUCCUCUCUUAUUUCCUUGAGCAGUUUGUAGUUCUCCUUGAAGAGUUCCUUCACAAUCCCUUGUUACUUGUAUUCCUAGGUGUUUUAUUCUCUUUGUUGGCAAUUGUGAAUGGGAGUUCGCUCAUGAUUUGGCUCUGUUAGUCUGUUGUUGGUGUAUAGGAAUGCUUGUGAUUUUUGCACAUUGAUUUUGUAUCCUGAGACUUUGCUGAAGUAGCUUAUCAGCUUAAGGAGAUUCUUGGCUGAGACGAUGGGGUCUUCUAAAUAUACAGUCAAUUCAUCUGCAAACAGGUAGAAUUUGAUGUCCUCUCUUCCUAUUUGAAUACCCUUUAUUUCUUUCUCUUGCCUGAUAGCCCUGGCCAGAACUUCCAGUACUGUGUUGAAUACGAGUGGUGAGAGAGGGCAUCCUUGUCUUGUGCCGGUUUUCAAAGGGAAUGCUUCCAGUUUUUGCCCAUUAAGUAUGAUGCUGGCUGUGGGUUUGUCAUAAUUAGCUCUUAUUAUUUUGCGAUAUGAUCCAUCAAUAGCUAGUUUUAUUGAGAGUUUUUAGCAUUAAGGGCUGUUGAAUUUUGUCAAAGGCCUUCUCUGCAUCUAUUGAGACAAUUGUGGUUUUGUCUUUGGUUUUGUGGAUGUGAUGGAUUACAUUUAUAGAUUUGUGUAUGUUGAACCAGCCUUGCAUCCCCAGAUGAAGCUGACUUGAUCAUGAUGGAUAAGCUUUUUGAUGUGCUGUUGGAUUCAUUUUGCCCAGUAUUUUUAUUUUAUUUUUAUUUUUGAGACGGAGUUUCGCUCUUGUUACCCAGGCUGGAGUGCAAUGGCGUGAUCUCAGCUCACCACAACCUCCGCCUCCUGGGUUCAAGCAAUUCUCCUGCCUCAGCCUCCUGAGUAGCUGGGAUUACAGGCACGUGCCACCAUGCCCAGCUAAUUUUUGUAUUUUUAGUAGAGACGGGGUUUCACCAUGUUGACCAAGAUGUCUGGAUCUCCUGACCUUGUGAUCCACCCGCCUCGGCCUCCCAAAGUGCUGGGAUUAUAGGUUUGCGCCACUGCUCCAGGCCUUGCCCAGUAUUUUAUUAAAGAUUUUUUGUAUCAGUGUUCAUCAUGGAUAUUGGCCUGAAAUUUUAUUUUUCAGUUGUGUCUCUGCCAGGUUUUGGUAUCAGGAUAAUGUUGGUCUCCUAAAAUGAGUUAGGGAGGAUUCCCUCUUUUUGUAUUGUUUGGAAUAGUUUCAGAAGGAAUGGUACCAGCUCCUCUUUGUACCUCUGGUAGAAUUUGGCUGUGAACCCAUCUGGCCUAUUACUUGCUGCCUCAACUUCAAACCUUGUUACUGGUCUGUUCACGAAUUCAGCUUCUUCCUGGUUUAGUCUGGAAGGGUGUACGUCUCCGGGAAUUUACCCAUUUCUUCUAGAUUUGCUGGUUUAUUUGCAUAUUGGUGUUUGUAGUAGUCUCUGAUGGUAGUUUGUAUUUCUGUGGAAUCGGUGGUGAUAUCCCCUUUAUCAUUGUUUUAUUGCAUCUAUUUGAAUCUUCUCUCUCUUCCUUUUUAUUAAUCUGGCUAGUGGUCUAUUUUAUUGAUCUUUUUAAAAAACCAGCUCCUGGAAUUACUGAUUUUUUGAAGGUUUUUUUUGUGUCUGUAUCUGCUUUAGUUCUGCUUUGAUCUUAGUAGUUUCUUGCCUUCUGUUAGCUUUUGAAUUUGUUGGAUCUUGCUUCUCUAGUUCUUACCCACCCCCCCACGCCCGCCAGAUGGAGUCCUGCUGUCUCCCAGGCUGGAGUGCAGUGGCACAAUCUUGACUCACUGCAACCUCCGCCUCCCGGGUUCAAGCAGUUCUCCUGCCUCAGUCUCCCAAGUAGCUGGGAUAAUAGGCAUGUGCAACUACUCCCAGCCAACUUUUUUUGUAUUUUUUGUAGAGACAGCAUUUUACCACGUUGGCCAGGCUGCUCUCAACUCCUGACCUGGUGAUCCGUCCACCUCAGCCUCCCAAAGUGGUGGGAUUACAGGCAUGAGCCACUGCAUCCAGCCUCCUCUAGUUAAUUGUGACGUUGGAUUUUAUAUCUUACCUUGCUUGUCUGGUGGCAUUUGGUGCUAUACAUUUCCCUCUAGACACAGCUUUAAAUGCAUCCCAGAGAUUCUGGCAUGUUGUGUCUUCGUUCUCAUUGGUUUUGAAGGACAUCUUUAUUUCUGCCUUCAUUUUUUAUUCAGUAGUCAUUCAGGAGCAUGUGUUUAGUUUCCAUGUAAUUGUGUGGUUUUGAGUGAGUUUCUUAAUCCUGAGUUCUAAUUUGACUGCACUGUGGUCUGAGAGACUUACGAUUUCCAUUCUUUUGGAUUUGCUGAGGAGUGAUUUACUGCCACUUAUGUAGUCAAUUUUAGAGUAAGUGCGAUGUGCUGAGAAGACUAUAUUUUGUGGUUCUGGGGUGGAGAGUUCUGUAGAUGGCUAUUAGGUCUGCGUGGUCCAGAUCGGAGUUCAAGUCCUGGAUAUCCUCGUUAAUUUUCUGUCUCGUUGAUCUAAUAUUGACAGUGGAGUGUUAAAGUCUCUCACAGUUAUUGUGCCCAGAGUCUAAGACUCUUUGUAAGAACUUGCUUUAUGUGUCUGGGUGCUCCUGUAUUGGGUACAUAUUUAGAAUAGUUAGCUCUUCUUGUUGCAUUGAUCCCCCUUACCAUUAUGUAACGCCCUUCUUUGUCUCUUGAUCUUUGUUGGUUUAAAGUCUGUUUUAUUGGAGACUAGGACUGCAACCCUGCUUUUAUUUGCUCUCCAAUUGCUUGUUAAGUAUUCCUCCAUCCCUUUAUUUUGAGCCUUUGUGUGUCUUUGCAUGUGAGAUGGGUUUUCUUUUCAUCCUAUUCUAUAGUUGCUAAGAUAAGCACAGCUACCACCUCUCAAUCUACAGCAGAAUGCUGGCCCCAGGGUUAUUUACAUUACCAAAAGCAUUUUUAGGGAACUUUUUAUAAAGAAAGAUCGUUAAGCUUAUUGUCACUCAGGUUUGGCAGCACAGCAGGAUGGUUCACUUCUUUGCUGUGUGUGAUGCUUCUGGAGUGUCCAAAGGCCUAUGGAAGAGUCAAGUAGGCGAGGCCCACUUUUUAUGGCAACGUGGCAUCCAUAGAAAAUGUUAGAAUUGAAGAAAGUUGCAAUACUCCAAAUAAUGUAAAUCGACUGCCAGGUCAUGACAUGUGAGUUCAGUUAAUCAUGCUGGCCCUGUGUUUAUCUGUAGUAUUUGUUUACAAAAGACAGGCCUAACAUUUUUUUUUUUUUUUCCAGUUAGGCUUUUCACAACCUCAUUGCCUUAAUACUUUAAAGUUUGGCUUUAGUUUCUCAAUUCUAAAACAUGUUGAUGACUCUACGGUAGUCUAGACUGAUUAUCUUUCAUUCUGACAGGUCAUGUGAACCAGCUUCAGCCACGUGAGCCCUGUGUAAUGAGGGGGACAGAUGAAGGCUGGACUGAAGUUCUCCCCGGCCCCUUUCUGGAGCACCCGCUGUCCCUGGCUGAUCUCCUCCCACAGUGCAGGCCUCCUCCAGCUCGUGGGCACAGGCUUUACCAGUUUGGCAGUUCUCUCCACAUCCUUCCUGCUAAUUUGCCACCAGGCUCUUAAGAACCACAGGGUAUGAUGAGACCCUACUGCGCUGACAGAAGGCAGAGCCUCUGCAAACAACAAGGGAGGCCCACCCUGGUGUCCACACCCACUCAUUCUCCACAGAGUCCAAAAGGAAGUUGUGGGUCAUCAGGCUGAACCUAUGGGUCACAGACUUCUUUACGAGGUAAUAGAAACCCCACACGAGGCCCAUUCUCCAGGGUAACACGUAUGUAGAGAAAAUGCACCUCCAGGAUCACAAGGAUGGCAGAACCCCAAAAAAACACUAUGGACCCAAAGAUGCUAAAAAAUAGCGCAACUCCUGUUCAUCUUUAGAGGAGAGGGCUCUCAGGCCACCAGGAAGGGCCUCUUCAGACCACAGUGCGCUCAACACCCCAUGGAGCAGGCAGAAGAUGAUGGGGCCUUCAGUGCCCCCUACGCUACAGCCAUGCUGAAAUCUUAAGUUCCACAGGAGUAAAAGAAAUGAUCAAACAAAGAAAUGGCUAUUGGAAAAUCAAGAAACGCUGACAAUGAGAUUUUAACUUCUGAGGACCUCCCAGAGAUGAUGGCAAAACUAAAACCAAGAGGAAAAAAAGCAGACUUUUCAAUACUCCUCAAUGUCAAUCCAGUGCCAGCAGCCGGCCAGACGCCAUCUGCUCCGUGUUUCUCCCUAAGCUUCUAAUGCAGCAUCAGACUUCAUCCAGAAGCCAACAGAGGGGCCAUCUGUUGCCGUGACUAUGCACAGAAACUGAGGUAAGAGGCUGGCCCAGUAAAUUCCAUCCUGCCUGGUUCUGUAAUUAUUUAUGUCCAUCCCAGGAUUCCCUGACAUUCAUUUUGUAGGUAAGAAAGUUGGGAGAGUUUAUCUUAUUUCCAGAAAGGACAGCUGGACAGAAGAGAAACCAGCCAUAAUGGGUCCUUGCCACUAUCUCAAUCAGUUCCACACGCUGUCUCUCCCUUAGGAAAGCCUGGGUCUCACCUGGCCGACCUAGGCCAGUGACCAGACAGCCAUCCUCAGGCUUGGACAUACACAAAGGCUAUGGUUUGGAUGUGGUUUGUUCCUGCCAAAACUCAUGGUGAGACUUAAUUGCCAAUGUAGCAGUGUUGGAAGGUGGUCUGUUUGAGAGGUGACGGAUCCUUACGAGACUGGGUUAGUUCUCCCAUGACUGGAUUAGUUCUUGCCGGAAUGGAUGAGUUCCUGUGAGAGCAGGUUGUUGGAAACAAGGUUGCCUUUCACAUUUGUUCUCUUUGCAUACACCCACCUCCCUUUCUGCCUUCCCAGCCAGCUGAAGCAGCAUGAGACCCUGACAUGAGCUGUCCUGAUCUUGGACUUCCCAGCCUCCAGAGUCAUGAGUCAAAUAAACUCCUUUUCUUUAUAAA